rnacentral:rRNA from 1 species
GAUGAACGCUAGCUACAGGCUUAACACAUGCAAGUCGCGGGGCAGCAUGGGGGUUGCUUGCAAUCCCCGAUGGCGACCGGCGCACGGGUGAGUAACGCGUAUCCAACCUGCCCUUCACCACGGGAUAACCCGGCGAAAGUCGGACUAAUACCGUAUGUUGUCCAUUGACGGCAUCCGAUUUGGACGAAAGGUUUGGCGGUGAAGGCUGGGGAUGCGUCCGAUUAGCUGGACGGCGGGGUGACGGCCCACCGUGGCGACGAUCGGUAGGGGUUCUGAGAGGAAGGUCCCCCACACUGGAACUGAGACACGGUCCAGACUCCUACGGGAGGCAGCAGUGAGGAAUAUUGGUCAAUGGGCGUAAGCCUGAACCAGCCAAGUAGCGUGCAGGAUGACGGCCCUAUGGGUUGUAAACUGCUUUUAUGCGGGGAUAAAGUGGCCCACGUGUGGGUUUUUGCAGGUACCGCAUGAAUAAGGACCGGCUAAUUCCGUG